GGCCGUGCAUCGAGGGAUAGCGUGACUUCGAAGAAACUGACACAGAUUUCUAGGAAAUACCGACUAACUAACAUCCGUCGUUUUCCCGGAUGCGACUAAACCGGGCAAGUUUGACGCACAAUCGGUGUAUCGAGAGUCGGUUGGACGACAGCCUGGGUUUAGAAAUAUUUGACAGUGGUUUGGUAGCAUGCAAAGAGAGCGUGAACGUGGGAUCGGCAUACGCGUCUGUACUUAUAAGUAAGUCACCGCGUCUACCUUGUUAUUUUCGGCGUAAAACCGACGCAGGUCGGUGGCAAAGAGAGGCGCCUAGGGAUCGCGACGCGUCGUCUCGACACCCACCUCGGUUAACGAUCGCUCUUGGUUGCAAGAGUGUUACGCGAUCGAAUGGGAUCCUUCUAACGAGUUUUUCACAGUUAAAUUGAAAGAAAAGAAAAAGUGACGCUUACUCGCGAUCAAGCGUGUCUGGCUUUUUUCAUAAUUUUCAUUCGUACGGGGUACAAAUGAAAAUUUACUGAAUGAGAGCUGCACCAAGGCUCCCCUACGACCCACCUUUCCGCCGUAUCUACGCCGUACUCAAAUGACACUGAAAGCACGGAUGCAGAGAGCUCCGACCGACCGAAAUCAAUACCAUGUUGGCCUACUACGCCGUGGCCUUCUUUUCAGCUAAAUCCAUUUGCCGCGGAACACGAUAAUAACCAAUAUGCAUGUCCCCUCGUACAUCCGUCAAGCAUAUCUUGUUAAAGAAAUUCUCGCGAAACCACGUGUCUCUGAUAUUAACUUAUGUAAUUAUCAGCCUUUUCAACACGCGGAUACGUCAUCCGUGAAAUCUUAUGUCUAGCCGUUAAAUUCGUCGAGUGGAUUCUUUGUUCGUCGCUUUUAACGUUUGCGCGUUAAUCGACAAAUUUGUACGAUGAGAAAAUAAUUAUUGAUGGAUAAAAAAAGAA